rnacentral:rRNA from 1 species
GAUGAACGCUGGCGGCGUGCCUAAUACAUGCAAGUCGAGCGAACAGACGAGGAGCUUGCUUCUCUGACGUUAGCGGCGGACGGGUGAGUAACACGUGGAUAACCUACCUAUAAGACUGGGAUAACUUCGGGAAACCGGAGCUAAUACCGGAUAAUAUAUUGAACCGCAUGGUUCAAUAGUGAAAGACGGUUUUGCUGUCACUUAUAGAUGGAUCCGCGCUGCAUUAGCUAGUUGGUAAGGUAACGGCUUACCAAGGCAACGAUGCAUAGCCGACCUGAGAGGGGUGAUCGGCCAAACGGAACCUGAGCACCGUCCCGAAUCCUAAGGGGAGGAGGCAGUAGGAAACCUCCCGCAAUGGCCGAAAGCCUGAGGGAGAAACGCGGCGGGGGUGAUGAAGGCCUUCGGAUCGUAAAACCCUGUAAUUAGGGAGGAACAAAUGUGUAAGUAACUAUGACAGUCUGGACGGUACCUAAUAAAAAAGCCACGGUUACCUACGU